rnacentral:rRNA from 1 species
CGUGUAGGCGGGUCUUUAAGUCAGGGGUGAAAUGCCAAGGCUCAACCUUGGAACUGCCUUUGAUACUGGAGACCUUGAGUCCGGGAGAGGUGAGUGGAAUUGCGAGUGUAGAGGUGAAAUUCGUAGAUAUUCGCAAGAACACCAGUGGCGAAGGCGGCUCACUGGCCCGGAACUGACGCUGAGACGCGAAAGCGUGGGGAGCAAACAGGAUUAGAUACCCUGGUAGUCCACGCUGUAAACGAUGGAUGCUAGCCGUUGGGGAGCUUGCUCUUCAGUGGCGCAGCUAACGCUUUAAGCAUCCCGCCUGGGGAGUACGGUCGCAAGAUUAAA